rnacentral:misc_RNA from 1 species
AUACCCUUUCUCAGCAACUCUAUCUCUUCCUUACCCCAAGGCUUCUCUUUCUUUUCGUAGCUGGACAUCAUAAUUACUGGUUUCGCAGAAGUCACAGAACCAUUACUUUUCGGGCCCGAAUUCGAGGAACCAUUUGGUUUCAAAUCAUUAGGUUCCUUAGAGAUCUCCAACAUAUCACCACUGACUGCAGCUUUGAGCAGUUG